rnacentral:lncRNA from 1 species
UAAAAGUCAGGUCGGAUUAAGCCAUAGUACGGAAAAAACUAUGCUACCUGUGAGCCCCGUCUAAGGACGUUAAAAGAAGUCAGGCCAUCACAAAAAUGCCACAGCUUGAGUAAACUGUGCAGCCUGUAGCUCCACCUGAGGAGGUGUAAAAAACCCGGGAGGCCACAAACCAUGGAAGCUGUACGCAUGGCGYAGUGGACUAGCGGUUAGAGGAGACCCCUCCCUUACAAAUCGCAGCAACAACGGGGGCCCAAGGUGAGAUGAAGCUGUAGUCUCACUGGAAGGACUAGAGGUUAGAGGAGACCCCCCCAAAACAGAAAACAGCAUA